rnacentral:rRNA from 1 species
AGAGUUUGAUCAUGGCUCAGAACGAACGCUGGCGGCGUGGAUAAGACAUGCAAGUCGAGCGCUGAUUACAAGGUAGCAAUAUUUUGUAGUCGGAGCGGCGCAAGGGUGCGUAACACGUGGGUAAUCUGCCAUGAAGUUUGGAAUAACUUGCUGAAAGGCGAGCUAAUGCCGAAUGUGACCGUUGGGAGGCAUCUCCCGAUAGUCAAAGUUGGGGACCGUAAGGCCUGACGCUUCAUGAUGAGCCCGCGGCCUAUCAGCUAGUUGGUGAGGUAACGGCUCACCAAGGCUAAGACGGGUAGCUGGUCUGAGAGGACGACCAGCCACACUGGAACUGAGACACGGUCCAGACACCUACGGGUGGCAGCAGUCGAGAAUUUUUCACAAUGGGCGCAAGCCUGAUGGAGCGACGCCGCGUGGGGGAUGAAUGGCUUCGGCCCGUAAACCCCUGUCAUUUGCGAUCAAACCUUGUUAUUUAAAAGAUGACGAGCUGAUAGUAGCGAAAGAGGAAGGGACGGCUAACUCUGUGCCAGCAGCCGCGGUAAUACAGAGGUCCCAAGCGUUGUUCGGAUUCACUGGGCGUAAAGGGUGCGUAGGUGGCGAGGUAAGUCGGAUGUGAAAGCUCGGAGCUCAACUCCGAAAUGGCAUUGGAAACUACCUUGCUCGAGGGUUGGAGGGGGGACUGGAAUACUUGGUGUAGCAGUGAAAUGCGUAGAUAUCAAGUGGAACACCAGUGGCGAAAGGCGAGUCCCUGGACAACUCCUGACACUGAGGCACGAAAGCUAGGGGAGCAAACAGGAUUAGAUACCCUGGUAGUCCUAGCCGUAAACGGUGCACGUUUGCUGUAAAAGGAAUCGACCCCUUUUGUGGCGUAGCCAACGCGUUAAACGUGCCGCCUGGGAAGUACGGUCGCAGAUUAAAACUCAAAGAAAUUGACGGGGCCUGCACAAGCGGUGGGAGUAUGU